AGUUCCGUUCGAAAUGAAGUUCCUUUGCUUGAUUGUCUGUUUAGUUUUGGUAGUUGCAAACUCGUUUGCAUUAAACUUAAAAAAUGUUCAAAAUGAAGAUUAUGAUUGUGAUGGUGUUUGCACCAGAAUGAAGAACCCCGUUUGUGGCAGUACCGAUGGUGGCUUGACAAAAGUCGAAUUUGACAACCUUUGUAUAUUCAAUUAUGAAAAUAAUUGCACUGGAUUGGAUAUAAAAUUCAAACUUGUGGAAUGUGACUGGGAAGAGUAAUGAUUCAUUUUAAACAAAUUAUUUUAUCGAAAAUAAUGCAAUUAAGUUAUAAUAAAUUUAAACAAAAUGUUUAAACAAACAAAUUUGCUGUAA